GGACCAAGGAGUCUAGCAUGUGCGCGAGUCAUUGGGUCUUAAAAAUACCUAAAGGCGUAAUGAAAGUGAAUGUUCGUCUAGCGCGAACUAAGGGAGGAUGGGUAGCCGUUUUUACUGCCGCUCCGCACUCCCGGGGCGUCUCAUUCUCAUUGCGAGAAGAGGCGCACCAAGAGCGUACACGCUGGGACCCGAAAGAUGGUGAACUAUGCCUGGUCAGGACGAAGUCAGGGGAAACCCUGAUGGAGGUCCGUAGCGAUUCUGACGUGCAAAUCGAUCGUCGGAACUGGGUAUAGGGGCGAAAGACUAAUCGAACCAUCUAGUAGCUGGUUCCCUCCGAAGUUUCCCUCAGGAUAGCUGGCGCUCAUUGCGUACGAGUUUCAUCCGGUAAAGCGAAUGAUUAGAGGCAUUGGGGUCGAAACGGCCUCAACCUAUUCUCAAACUUUAAAUGGGUGAGAUCUCCGGCUUGCUCGAACUAUUGAAGCCGCGAGACUCGAAUCAGAGUGCCAAGUGGGCCAUUUUUGGUAAGCAGAACUGGCGCUGUGGGAUGAACCAAACGCCGAGUUAAAGCGCCUAAAUCGACGCUUAUGGGAUACCAUGAAAGGCGUUGGUAACUUAAGACAUCAGGACGGUGGCCAUGGAAGUCGGA
rnacentral:rRNA from 1 species